AUUUUCCCUAGUGUCAUAGGCAGUACAAAUGAAGCAGUAGCAACUGAUUAUACAUCACUGACAGCAUAAAACAGAACAAACAGACAGUUCCUUCCAUGAAAAGCCCAGGCCAGAAAAGAAGACCGAGGGAGGACCUCAUAACAGUUUUCAGAUAUGUUAAGAGCUGUUAUAGAGAGGAUGGUGAUCAAUUGUCCCUGCCCACUGAAAUUGGAUGAGUUGUUCUGACACUGCUUUUACAGCACAGACUUUCUUGGUGGCAAUCAGAAGGAAAAUCAGAGUCAGACAGAGGUGCUCUUUUAUGGGCUGGUAGGUUACAUGGAGAACAAUAGCCAGUGAUGCAACAAGGAAAUUGCAAGAAGAAUGAGUAUCUGGUAUGCAGACUUCCAGUGAAUUGAAAGUUCCAUCUUGAGUUGAGGUUUCAACAAGUGUUCUUCCUGGAUCUGGG